rnacentral:rRNA from 1 species
AACAAACGCUGGCGGCGUGCCUAACACAUGCAAGUCGUACGAGAAAGGGUCCUUCGGGGCCUGAGUAAAGUGGCGCACGGGUGAGUAACGCGUGGAUAAUCUGCCCUUCAGUUGGGAAUAACUCAUCGAAAGGUGGGCUAAUACCGAAUAAUGCUGUGAGACCUCGGUUGAUCAGCCGAAGAGAGCCUCUGCCUGCAAGCCCUCGCUGAAGGAUGAGUCCGCGUACCAUUAGCUAGUUGGUAGGGUAAUGGCCUACCAAGGCGACGAUGGUUGGCUGGUCUGAGAGGAUGAUCAGACACACUGGAACUGAGACACGGUCCAGACUCCUACGGGAGGCAGCAGUGAGGAAUCUUGCGCAAUGGGGGCAACCCUGACGCAGCAACGCCGCGUGAGUGAGGAAGGUCUUCGGAUCGUAAAGCUCUGUCGGAUGGAAAGAACCGCAUAGGGGUAAACAGCCCCUGUGUCUGACGGUACCAUCAAAGGAAGCACCGGCUAACUCCGUGCCAGCCGCCGCCGUAAAAC